CUAUUCCUUAUAUAGGGCAACGGUUUUGACCAGGGCCCAUAGGAUUCUAGACAGAAUUAUUGCACUUGGUAAGGAAUAGGGUACAAUUUAGGACAUAACCAGUCACUCUCUCUCUCUCAGUCUCUCCAUCUUUCGCUUUCCCCAUGUUUUCACAGCCCAACGUCCCCUUUCUAUACACACACACACACACACACACACACACACACACACACACACACACACACACACACACACACACACACACACACACACACACACACACACACACACACACUGCUCAAAACACCAGGGUCAGAGGUCACGCAUACACACAGUUGUACUGUAAACACAAAUGGCUGCUGCAUUGGUUUGUCUGCUUUGUUCAUUUCUGUUGUUUUGUCUUUUGACUCCCAUUAGAUUAGAGAUUCAUAACACAACAUAACCGGGAUUCAAUCCAAGAUGUGUUGUGAAGCAAAGCAUACUUUAAAAAAUGUAUUAAUACGCUCAAACUAUACACUCAUUUAUCGUGAAUCCAAUCGCUGCGAGCAUCUGGGAAAAAUGCCUUUACACUAGUGCGCUGCUCUCUAAGGCUCCUGGGAUUGAAUCCCGGCCUGAGACUGCUUCCAAACAACGUAUGUAAAUAAAUCCUGGUCAGAGAUAGCAGAGAACAGCUCAGAGCACCUUAGUACUGUCCACUGAGACCUGGGUUAGGCCUGGGUAGGAUAGACAUCUGUCCCAUCUGGUGUGGCCUAAUUGUGCAUUAAUUUUGGUCAUGUAAGUGUAUCACCACUCCCUUUGUCUGAGGCUAGUCCCAAAUGGCACCCUAUUCCAUAAAUAGUGCACUACUAUUCACCAGAUUCCUAUGUGCCCUGGUGAAAAGCAGUGCACUAUAUAGGGAAUAGGUUGGAAACCCCCGUUAGAAACAGAGGCCUACACAGACAACAAGUAAACGAUACAGGACGUGUAUAAAAGUUUAAACACCCUAGUGUCACCUUCAUUGAUGACAUAAUAACACCAUGAAUGUAAUAUGACAACUAUAAUACUGACUUCAUAUGUGGAAGGCAUUUGAUGAAAUUAUAAAAUGGUGGAUGAGGAACGAAUAAAAUUGAGUUUAUGUAGGAAGUUAUAUCUUUUGAACAGAGGGCCAACCUGUCAAAAAGAUGUUUAUUUACAGCUAGCUAUAAUCUCUAAUCUACUCCUAUGUUUUCAUCUGGAAGAAAAGGUGAGAUCUGGGAGAAAAGGUGAAAUCUGGGAGAAAAGGUGAAAUCUGGGAGAAAAGGUGAGAUCUGGAAGAAAAGGUGAGAUCUGGAAGAAAAGGUGAAAUCUGGGAGAAAAGGUGAAAUCUGGGAGAAAAGGUGAGAUCUGGAAGAAAAGGUGAGAUCUGGAAGAAAAGGCGAGAUCUGGAAGAAAAGGUGAGAUCUGGGAGAAAAGGUGAGAUCUGGAAGAAAAGGUGAGAUCUGGAAGAAAAGGCGAGAUCUGGAAGAAAAGGUGAGAUCUGGGAGAAAAGGUGAGAUCUGGAAGAAAAGGUGAAAUCUGGGAGAAAAGGUGAGAUCUGGAAGAAAAGGUGAAAUCUGGGAGAAAAGGUGAGAUCUGGAAGAAAAGGUGAGAUUUGGGAGAAAAGGCGAGAUCUGGAAGAAAAGGUGAAAUCUGGGAGAAAAGGUGAGAUCUGGAAGAAAAGGUGAGAUUUGGGAGAAAAGGCGAGAUCUGGAAGAAAAGGUGAGAUUUGGGAGAAAAGGUGAGAUCUGGAAGAAAAGGUGAGAUUUGGAAGAAAAGGUAUAAAGAAGAAAGUCAACAGGACCCCGGUAGAAACAGAGAUCAAAGAGGGAGUUCUGACGGCUCUGAUCCGUGGUUGGCAGCAACAUUAUAGUUACAAACCAAAUGGAACCCUAUUCCCUAUAUAGUGGACUACUUUUGAUAAGGACCCAUAGGGCUCUGAUCGAAACACUAUAUAUACGGUUGAAGUUGGAAGUUUACAUACACAUAGGUUGGAAUCAUUAAAACUUGUUUUUCAACCAAUCCACACAUUUCUUGUUAACAAACUAUAGUUUUGGCAAGUCAGUUAGGACAUCUACUUUGUGCAUGACACAAGUACUUUUUCCAACAAUUGUUUACAGACAGAUUAUUUCACUUAUAAUUCACUGUAUCACAAUUCCAGUGGGUCAGAAGUUUACAUACACUAUGUUGACUGUGCCUUUAAACAGCUUGGAAAAUUCCAGAAAAUGAUGUCAUGGCUUUAGAAGCUUCUGAUAGGAUAAUUAACAUAAUUUGAGUCAAUUGGAGGUGUACCUGUGGAUGUAUUUCCAGGCCUACAUUCAAACUCAGUGCCUCUUUGCUUGACAUCAUGUGAAAAUCAAAAGAAAUCAGCUAAGACCUCAGAAAAAAAUGAUAGACCUCCACAAAUCUGGUUCAUCCUUGAGAGCAAUUUUGACUGAAGGUACCACGUUAAUACGCAAGUAUAAAAACCAUGGGACCACGUAGCCAUCAUACCGCUCAGGAAGGAGAUGCGUUCUGUCUCCUAGAGAUGAACGUACGUUGGUGCGAAAAGUGCAAAUCAAUCCCAGAACAACAGCAAAGGACCUUGUGAAGAUGCUGGAGGAAACAGGUACACACGUAUCUACAGUAUAUCCACAGUAAAACGAGUCCUAUAUCGACAUAACCUGAAAGGCCGCUCAGCAAGGAAGAAGCCACUGCUCCAAAACCGCCAUAAAAAAAGCCAGACUACUGGUUGCAACUGCACAUGGGGACAAAGAUCCUACUUUUUGGAGAAAUGUCCUCUGGUCUGAUGAAACAAAAAUAGAACUGUUUGGCCAUAAUGACCAUCGUUAUGUUUGGAGGAAAAAGGGGGAGGCUUGCAAGCCGAAGAACACCAUCCUAACUUUGAAGCACGGGGGUGACAGCAUCAUGUUGUGGGGGUGCUUUGCUGCAGUAGGGAGUGGUGCAUGUCACAAAAUAGAUGUCAUCAUGAGGAGGGUAAAUUAUGUGGAUAUAUUGAAGCAACAUCUCAAGACAUCAGUCAGGAAGUUAACGCUUGGUUGCAGAUGGGUCUUCCAAAAUGGACAAUGACCCCAAGUUGUGGCAAAAUGGCUUAAGGACAACAAUGUCAAGGUAUUGGAGUGGCCAUCACAAAGCCCUGAGCUCAAUCCUAUUGAAAAUUUGUGGGCAGAACUGAAAAAGCAUGUGUGAGCAAGGAGGCCUACAAACCUGGCUCAGUUACACCAGCUCUGUCAGGAGGAAUGGGCCAAAAUUCACCCAACUUAUUGUGGGAAGCUUGUGGAGGGCUACCCGAAACGUUUGACCCAAGUUAAAAAAUGUAAAGGCAAGGCUACCAAGUACUAAUUGAGUGUAUGUAAACUUCUGACCCACUGGGAAUGUGAUGAAAGAAAUAAAAGCUGAAAUAAAUCCUUCUAUCUACUAUUAUUCUGACAUUUCCCAUUCUUAAAAUAAAGUGCUGAUCCUAACUGACCUAAGACAGGGAAUUUAAACCAGGAUUAAAUGGCAGGAAUUGUGAAAAACUGAGUUUAAAUGUUUUUGGCUAAGGUGUAUGUAAACUUCUGACUUCAACUGUAUAUAUUUAUUAAUUUAACUCGGCAAGUCAGUUGAGAACAAAUUCUUAUUUACAAUGACGGCCUACACCGGCCAAACACAAAAGACGCUGGGCCAAUUGUGCGCUGCCCUAUGGGACUCCCAAUCACAGCCGGGUGUGAUACAGACUGGAUUCGAACCAGGGACUGUAGUGACGCCUCUUGCACUGAGAUGCAGUGCCUUAGACUGCUACGCCACUCGGGAGCCCAUAUAUAGAGAAUAGGGCACAAAGAUCCAAUAUGUUAUGUAUGGGUUCUAUAUGUCAUUCUAUGCAUUAGCGUACCGAGGUGAAAUAAUGAUGGUGAAUUGCAUGAUCAGAGUUUACCCACAGCUACAGAGCCACUGUGUGUAGGCCUUCACAUCCACCACUAUAGAGCACUGUGCCCAAUACCAGAUGGGGUAAAGCAAAGUACCAAAUAUUAUAUCAUACGUACAGGCCACUGUGGACAGACAGUACCAGCAUUGGUCACUCAGCGCCAAUCUCAAAAGUGCACCAUUGCCAGCAUCAAACUACAAGUUUGAUGCUUUAGUUUCAAGACUACACCAUCAUGACUACAUCCCAAAAGGCACCCUAUUCCCUAUAUAGUACACUACUUUUGACAAGAGCUCUAUGGUGAGCCAGUGAGCCCGUAGGGCUCUGGUCAAAAGUCGUGCACUAUAUAGAGGACAGGGUGCCAUUUGGGACGCAGUCUUAGUCUACAACAACAACAACAUGACCAGAUAGAAACUCAGUGAAUGAAACUGGACACAGAAGCCUCAGAACAUAAACUCAGUGAAUGAAACUGGACACAGAAACCUCAGAACAUUGAAUUGUAAAGUGAAUGUCACCCAAACCUCUGAACCUUUGGUCUGCAACCCCCUUAUAAAAAUACUAUCAAACUUUUCUGAAUGUGUUGUUUUUUUUGUUGCUUCUUGUUCUUCUAUUUAGGUAUAAAUAUGGGGAAAGAGCUACUCUACUGUGCAAGUGACAGAGACACAUACAAUACUAUUUGAAGGUUGGGGGU